UCCACAGUACUAUACUGUAUGUGUACAUUACAGUACAGUACUGCAGUUCAUAAUGCAUUCUGGGUAAAUUUGUUUGAGCGGGAAAAUUUUACAGUAUAUUUUGGUCUUGAUGUAACCUUGCUGUAGCCAUUGCUGUAAUGUGCCAGGUGUACUUGCAAUAAUCAGAGAAAGUGCGCCAACGUCAAAUCACACAGAGGGAGAGAGAGCACAACUCCUGGCUGCAGCUGAAGGAGGACGAUUGAUUUCUGGCAGUUCGUCUUACCAUUGCUUGUAAGCUGGAUUGGGUAAGAUGGAUCAUCUUUAAAGGCACCAGGAGUUAAGGCAGAUGUGGAGGCACAACGGGUGAUACCAGACACACACCAAGCACAUUAUGUUUGGACAUUCAAUCAUGACAUGAUCCAGGUGGAUGCUGUCCAUUGAGGAAAGUUUGUUCAGCGGUUUCUGGAUAGAAUUAAUUCCAAAGAUGGGAAAAAGUGCACAUCCAGACAAGGAGCAAGCAAAAAGACAAGGAACUUGGUGCAGAGAAAAGCUGUGGCCAUUAACCCCUGUGAACAGCUUCAUGCAGUCGCUGAUUGAGUUCGAAUGGACGACUUCAAAGUAAAGGCCACUGUGGUCUGUCUGCCACAGUUUAAUUUUUAAUUUAUUUUUAGUGUUCAAUGAAAUUCAAGUAGAAUAUUUAAAACUAUGGGCCAGUGUUGUUUUUACCACAGUGAAAUGUUACCUUUUAGUCGAUGAUGGACUUUAAACUGAAAACUUCAAACUAUGGAACAGUGUUCUAUUUGCCAGAGUUAAAUAUGUUACAGCAGGGGUCUCCAAACUUGUUUAUACUUGUUGAUUUUAUUUUAUGUUACUUGAUUAUAUGUUUAUUAUUGUUUAAAAUCUUGUUUUAAAUAUGUUUGUUUCAAUUAAAUGUUUUUUUUAAUAAAAUUUUGAUACAAACAUUGCUUGGAUUGCCUUUUAAUUCAUUAUGUUUUAAUUUAGCAUUUUUACCAUAUUAAUAACUAUAGAUUUAAACCUAAAU